rnacentral:rRNA from 1 species
CCCUUAGAUGUUCUGGGCCGCACGCGCGCUACACUGAUGCAUUCAACGAGCCUAUCCUUGACCGACAGGUCCGGGUAAUCUUUGAAUCUGCAUCGUGACGGGGAUAGAUUAUUGCAAUUAUUAAUCUUCAACGAGGAAUGCCUAGUAGGCGCAAGUCAUCAGCUUGCGUCGAUUACGUCCCUGCCCUUUGUACACACCGCCCGUCGCUCCUACCGAUUGGGUGUGCUGGUGAAGUGUUCGGAUCGGCCGUUUGUCGCGGUUUCCGCGUCAUGUGGCUGAGAAGUUCAUUAAACCCUCCCACCUAGAGGAAGGAGAAGUCGUAACA